rnacentral:lncRNA from 1 species
CCGGCCCCCACCUUACAAACAGCACCACCCCACCUCCACGGCCCCCCAGGCUGCAUCUCCUCCCUGUCAGCACAUGCGCACUUCCGGCUCUCCAUCCCGAAAGCCUCCCCAACUUCAUUUCCCUUGCUCCGUAUCCACUCACCACCCACCCUUCCCUCUGUCCUGACAUCCUGGGUGCUGCCAGAAGCAUCGAUGUGCUUUCCCUCUCCGCCUGCAGGCUCUCAGGAACCGGAUUUCCCCUCUCAGGAAGUACGGCUCCCCGAGGACAGGGCCGUGUCUUCCUCUAGCCUGAGAUGUCCUUCAGCUCUGGCUUGUCUCCCCUACCUCUGAGUCUGCCCCGGAGCCCAAGCUGUGCAUGGGGCUUCUGGGCAGGGCGGCGGGGCUGGGGGCAGCUGGCCUCUUCAGGGUCCCUGUGUCCCGGUCCUCGGGGCCCUCACCUGGCUGGAUGUAGAGUCUGGCCUCGCGGGCACUGAGUGGCAGCACCGUGGGCAGUCCCACCGUGGAGCGGACGGCCUCCAUGCGCAGGAAUUGACCGGUGAUGUAGAUGUUGUCGAAGUCGUCCCAGUUCAGGUAACAGUACCGGUAAAACAGGGCUCUGGGGGAGCACACGGGAGGCUCCUCAGCACCCCUGACCCACCUACCUACUGCCCCAGGGCACCCCUCUCUGCCGCCCCCGCCUCCACAUUCCGGCCUCCCAGAAUGCCUUGCGAGCAGCCCCAGCCCCCAGCCCCCACCGGCUCGCCAGCCCCUCACUGGACAUAGAGAAGCAGGAACAGCAGGGGCGUGGUGUAGCCCAUCAGAGCCAAGGCCUCCUGGAUGCGGUAGAGCUUCGUGCUGACAGCUUCGUGGAGGUCCAGAGCCACCUGAGACAGGCUCCGAGAGGCAUUGAGAUCCACGGAGAAGUGUCCUGCUGGCAAGCUCCAGGAGCUCUCACCGCUGGCAAGACCACAGAGCAUCAGCUUGAAGGGCAUGAGAACAUAACACAGGUGGUAGGCUUGUGGUAUGACCUUCAUGCAGCUGUCCUUGGCAUCAUCGAAGACCCGAGCACACUUCAGGUAAGGAUUGCCCAGCUCUGAGUUGCACACGUCCCCGAUGUGCAGGAGCCAAUACCACACGUUCCGCAGGGCCCUGGCUGGGGACAGCUGUGGGGCUGGUACCCAGGAAUCCUGCAGCAUCUGUUCAGGGGGUUGGGGACACCGGGACAGCACCCAGAACUGGAAAGGGCGGUGGUUAGGGGCUUGGCAGUUCUAUAGCCAGUGGGGAUCAAUCAGCACCCAGGAGAGGCCCAAAAAGUCAUUGCCUGGCUGGGGGUGAGGGUGAGGAGACUGGGAGAAUUUUGACACCCACCCCCCCCCCCCCCCCCAACCAAAAGACAAGCU